rnacentral:rRNA from 1 species
GAUGAACGCUGGCGGCGUGCCUAAUACAUGCAAGUCGAGCGAACAGACGAGGAGCUUGCUCCUCUGACGUUAGCGGCGGACGGGUGAGUAACACGUGGAUAACCUACCUAUAAGACUGGGAUAACUUCGGGAAACCGGAGCUAAUACCAGAUAAUAUAUUGAACCGCAUGGUUCAAUAGUGAAAGACGGUUUUGCUGUCACUUAUAGAUGGAUCCGCGCCGCUUUAGCUAGUUGGUAAGGUAACGGCUUACCAAGGCAACGAUGCGUAGCCGACCUGAGAGGGUGAUCGGCCACACUGGAACUGAGACACGGUCCAGACUCCUACGGGAGGCAGCAGUAGGGAAUCUUCCGCAAUGGGCGAAAGCCUGACGGAGCAACGCCGCGUGAGUGAUGAAGGUCUUCGGAUCGUAAAACUCUGUUAUUAGGGAAGAACAAAUGUGUAAGUAACUAUGCACGUCUUGACGGUACCUAAUCAGAAAGCCACGGCUAACUACGUG